rnacentral:rRNA from 1 species
GAUGAACGCUGGCGGCGUGCCUAAUACAUGCAAGUCGAGCGAACAGAUGAGGAGCUUGCUCCUCUGACGUUAGCGGCGGACGGGUGAGUAACACGUGGAUAACCUACCUAUAAGACUGGGAUAACUUCGGGAAACCGGAGCUAAUACCGGAUAAUAUAUUGAACCGCAUGGUUCAAUAGUGAAAGACGGUUUUGCUGUCUUAUAGAUGGAUCCGCGCCGCAUUAGCUAGUUGGUAAGGUAACGGCUUACCAAGGCAACGAUGCGUAGCCGACCUGAGAGGGUGAUCGGCCACGCUGGAACUGAGACACGGACCAGACUCCUACGGGAGGCAGCAGUAGGGAAUCUUCCGCAAAGGGCGAAAGCCUGACGGAGCAACGCCGCGUGAGUGAUGAAGGUCUUCGGAUCGUAAAACUCUGUUAUUAGGGAAGAACAAAUGUGUAAGUAACUAUGCACGUCUUGACGGUACCUAAUCAGAAAGCCACGGCUAACUACGUG